rnacentral:rRNA from 1 species
GAUUAACGCUAGCGGCAGGCCUAAUACAUGCAAGUCGAACGGUAACAGGUGUAGCAAUACAUGCUGACGAGUGGCGCACGGGUGCGUAACACGUAUGCAACCUACCUAUAACUGGGGAAUAGCCUUCCGAAAGGAAGAUUAACACCGCAUAACAUCACGAAACGUCAUCGUUUUGUGAGCAAACCUCCGGGGGUUAUAGAUGGGCAUGCGUAACAUUAGCUAGUUGGUGAGGUAAUGGCUCACCAAGGCUACGAUGUUUAGGGGGUAUGAGAGGAUGAUCCCCCACACUGGUACUGAGACACGGACCAGACUCCUACGGGAGGCAGCAGUAAGGAAUAUUGAACAAUGGGGGCAACCCUGAUCCAGCCAUGCCGCGUGAAGGAUGAAGGCCCUCUGGGUUGUAAACUUCUUUUGUACGGGAAUAAACCCCUUUACGUGUAGAGGGUUGAAUGUACCGUAAGAAUAAGGAUCGGCUAACUUCGUGCCAGCAGCCGCAGUAA